AGCGAACGUUUGCGGCGGGCUUAACACAUGCAAGUCGAACGGGCUGUUCCUUCGGGGGCAGUCAGUGGCGCACGGGUGCGUAACACGUAGGUAAUCAACCCUCUGGUUGGGGAUAACACUUCGAAAGGAGUGCUAAUACCCGGUAUGGCGCAGCGGUCUUCGGAUCGCGGCGAGAAAGACCCGCAAGGGUUGCCAGAGGACGAGCCUGCGGCCCAUCAGCUAGUUGGCGAGGUAACGGCUCACCAAGGCGAAGACGGGUAGCUGGUCUGAGAGGAUGAUCAGCCACACUGGAACUGAGACACGGUCCAGACUCCUACGGGAGGCAGCAGUGGGGAAUAUUGGACAAUGGGCGAAAGGCCUGAUCCAGCAAUGCCGCGUGUGUGAAGAAGGCCUGAGGGUUGUAAAGCACUUUCAAUCGUGAGAAAGUUAGCCAGGCUAAUACCCUGUGACCUUGA
rnacentral:rRNA from 1 species